rnacentral:lncRNA from 10 species
CCUGGAAGCCAAGCACCUGUGAGAUUGUGGGCAGUCCCUUCAACACCUGGAGUCCCUGGUCUGGAAAGAGUUGAUCUGCUGGGGAAAAGAAAAAGUUUAAAAACCAAUUCUCCAUCUGAACUACUCACUUUGCAGAUGAGAGACAAGAAGUGACUCACCCAAAGUCACCCAGCUAGUUAAUGGUGACAUGGGACCCAUGUCUUCAGACUCAUGGUUUUCGUAAAGACAGAAGGCUGCAUCCAUGCCGUCCCCCUACUCAGUGCGUGUUACUAGCUAGAUAAUAAGUGUUUGCAUGUGAUCAGGAAUCCUUCACGGCCAGAAGACUCAUGGUAGAAAUCCAGGAACUGUGGAAGAGGGGAUCUGGGGGAAGGGAGUCUCCCUAGAGCCCCUGAUAUGACAUCAUCUACCCCGACUGAGCCGAUGUCUGAAGCAAAACCUGCUUAUACUCUCGGACCUGUGGCUUCCUGGUUUUCUUCUAGACCUCUGGCACUGCUCCAAACAGGGAAGGAGGAAAUGAAGAUAUGCAGAGGGAGAUGGAGCCCUAAGCGAAACUAGGGUAGUUUAGCAGGGCUCUGCACCAGUGCUUUAUUCUGCAGUCCAUUCAUCCACUCGGACAUUAUUGAGUGCUUACUCUAGCCCAGGUGCUGUGCAAGGUAUUAUGGUGAACAAAAUAGACAUUGUCUUUGACCUCAUGACAUUUAGAGUGUAGUGAGGCAAAAAGACAUUUAAUGAAUAAUGGGCAAUAAAUAAAUACACAAUUUUAAUGGUUGUUAAUAAAGGGCAAAAAGGAAAAUGGGCUUCGGGUGCUUGGUGGCUGCUCCCAAUGAGACCACCAGAGAAGGUUUCUGCAAAGAGAUGACAGAAGAGCUGAGACCAAAGUAUAUAGGAAUCCAGCCACGCACAGUGGAGGAAGAGCGUUGCAGGCCCAGGGAACAGCAUGUGUGGCCCCGAGUAAGCUUGUAUUACUACACGUCAAGAUCUCCUGUUUCCCCCCAAAUCAGACCUACCUUCUCUGAAGUUCCAUGGCCAGAACUGUAAAAGGCUGUCCAAGAGGAGGAAGCAUCAUUAUUGCCUGGAUCUUUAUCUGUGCUGCUCUCCCAGGGAUCCACUGCUGUUUCAGGAUCAGCUGGGGAGAGAUUCUGGCCAUGUAUCACCUCCACCCCAAGCCAGGACAUCUCAGCUACAGUAAAUCCUAAACACCGCCCCAAAGUCAUCUCCUUGGUCUAUGAACAAGUCAUCGCCAAAUAUCAAUUGUCCCCAGCAUCACUCCAUUGUUUUCAACCAAGAACUGGCAUUUCCAUAGCACUUCACAGUUUACAAAGGGCCCUGGCCCUUGCUAAGAUCUAAGUGUGGUGAUCCAUCUAGAUAGGUUACUAGCCUUUUGGGAUUUUUUGUUGUUGUUUGCAGAAAGCCAUUUGAUACUCUAAAACCACCCUGUGAGAGAGGCUGAAUGGGGAGUAGAAAGGUGCCGGCUUUGGAACCAGAUUUGGAACAAUUUGUCUUGGACAAAUGGCUUAACCUCUCUGAACUUCAUUUUCCUCUGUAAAAAAGGCUAAUCAUCCCACUCCUACAAGGUUGCUCUGGGGAAGGAAUAGUCUAUACGGUGCCCAGUAGAAUACGGAAGGCGCUCAAUACAGAGUUAGCAUGAUUAUUUUUAGACCCAUUUUCUAGAUGGGGAAGCCAAGGCUCAGAAGGGUGAGGCAACUUGCCGAAGUCUUCCCAGCUAAAGAGUGGCUGAGUUUGAAAGAUGAACCCAGUAGCCUGCCCUCCCAGGCCAGAGUUCACCUGUCGCGCGCUGCACGGCUGCUGCCUCUCUGGACUCUGGAGCCCUGUGACCCGUCCCUCCGCGACCCUCUCUGUCUCCUUACCUGCUCCCUCGGAGCCGCCUCCUCCGCCUCCGUUCGUGCAGCCCUGCACGCAUGUGCUUUGUUUUCUGACUUCCCAGGCCC